GAUGAACGCUGGCGGCGUGCCUAAUACAUGCAAGUCGAGCGAACGGACGAGAAGCUUGCUUCUCUGAUGUUAGCGGCGGACGGGUGAGUAACACGUGGAUAACCUACCUAUAAGACUGGGAUAACUUCGGGAAACCGGAGCUAAUACCGGAUGAUAUUUUGAACCGCAUGGUUCAAAAGUGAAAGACGGUCUUGCUGUCACUUAUAGAUGGAUCCGCGCUGCAUUAGCUAGUUGGUAAGGUAACGGCUUACCAAGGCAACGAUGCAUAGCCGACCUGAGAGGGUGAUCGGCCACACUGGAACUGAGACACGGUCCAGACUCCUACGGGAGGCAGCAGUAGGGAAUCUUCCGCAAUGGGCGAAAGCCUGACGGAGCAACGCCGCGUGAGUGAUGAAGGUCUUCGGAUCGUAAAACUCUGUUAUUAGGGAAGAACAUAUGUGUAAGUAACUGUGCACAUCUUGACGGUACCUAAUCAGAAAGCCACGGCUAACUACGUGCCAGCAGCCGCGGUAAUACGUAGGUGGCAAGCGUUAUCCGGAAUUAUUGGGCGUAAAGCGCGCGUAGGCGGUUUUUUAGUCUGAUGUGAAAGCCCACGGCUCAACCGUGGAGGGUCAUUGGAAACUGGAAAACUUGAGUGCAGAAGAGGAAAGUGGAAUUCCAUGUGUAGCGGUGAAAUGCGCAGAGAUAUGGAGGAACACCAGUGGCGAAGGCGACUUUCUGGUCUGUAACUGACGCUGAUGUGCGAAAGCGUGGGGAUCAAACAGGAUUAGAUACCCUGGUAGUCCACGCCGUAAACGAUGAGUGCUAAGUGUUAGGGGGUUUCCGCCCCUUAGUGCUGCAGCUAACGCAUUAAGCACUCCGCCUGGGGAGUACGACCGCAAGGUUGAAACUCAAAGGAAUUGACGGGGACCCGCACAAGCGGUGGAGCAUGUGGUUUAAUUCGAAGCAACGCGAAGAACCUUACCAAAUCUUGACAUCCUUUGACAACUCUAGAGAUAGAGCCUUCCCCUUCGGGGGACAAAGUGACAGGUGGUGCAUGGUUGUCGUCAGCUCGUGUCGUGAGAUGUUGGGUUAAGUCCCGCAACGAGCGCAACCCUUAAGCUUAGUUGCCAUCAUUAAGUUGGGCACUCUAAGUUGACUGCCGGUGACAAACCGGAGGAAGGUGGGGAUGACGUCAAAUCAUCAUGCCCCUUAUGAUUUGGGCUACACACGUGCUACAAUGGACAAUACAAAGGGCAGCGAAACCGCGAGGUCAAGCAAAUCCCAUAAAGUUGUUCUCAGUUCGGGUUGUAGUCUGCAACUCGACUACAUGAAGCUGGAAUCGCUAGUAAUCGUAGAUCAGCAUGCUACGGUGAAUACGUUCCCGGGUCU
rnacentral:rRNA from 1 species